GCCGGUGUAGCUCAGUUGGUAGAGCAGCGCAUUCGUAAUGCGAAGGCCGGGGGUUCGACUCCUCUCACCGGCACCA
rnacentral:tRNA from 1 species